GGAUUGCUUAGUCUGUAGAGCAUGAGGCUCUUAAUCUCAGGGUCGAGGGUUUGAGCCCCAUGUUGGGCA